rnacentral:misc_RNA from 1 species
GGGAAGUAAAAGUCGUAACUAGGUUUCCGUAGGUGAACCUGCGGAAGGAUCAUUAUUGGAUUUUGAAACUUCAGGCUGCUGCUGGCUCUCCUCGGAGGGCAUGUGCACGCUUGUUGUCCAUUAUUUCUCCCACUGUGCACAAAUUGUAGACCUUUCAGUAGGCCUAUGUUGUUUUUCACAAUCUCUGAAUGUAAUAGAAUGGUUUUGAAUCUUGGGAAAUACAAUACAACUUUCAGCAACGGAUCUCUUGGCUCUC